rnacentral:lncRNA from 1 species
UGUCCACUUAGAUCCUCAGACACAUGAGGUGUUAGACUAGAAUUUUAAUUUCAAAGUGAGCUUCCUCCUCUUUUUCUUCCAACAGGGUCUCAUUAUACGUCCUAGGCUGGCUUCAAACUCCCGACUCUCGGAUCUCAGCCUCCCAUGUGCUGGUAUUAUAGGCCUGGAGCUACUACUACAUGUGGCCAAAGAGCUGAACUCUUUGUGGCUUUAGGGAUGUUUGCUGCCAAGCUAAAUGGGUUUUGGAGAUCAAAGAAGACACUUUGGCUCAAAUUAUGUUCUGGAAGCAUGGGGUUGAAAUGACCCGGAGAGUUCAGAAGACUCCAGCUGCCUGCCAUCAUCCAAGCCGGAAAUUUCAGAGCCAAAGUGAACCUUGUGCCUUGUUCUUGGCUACCCCAGCCAGCAGGUAAUAGAAGCCUUUCCAAAACUGCUGUUUAAAAGCUAGAUUUGAACUGGGGAUGUAGCUCAUUGAUAGAGUGCCUGCCUAGCAUGCAGGAAGUCCUGAAUUUGAUUCCCAGAACCACAUAACAUGAGGCAUUGUGGCACAUAAGCAAUCCUAGCACUCAAGAUCAGAAGUUUAAGGUCAACCUCAGCUGACUAGUCAGUGAGUUGGAGGCCAAACUGGGCUACACGAGACCCUGUCUCAACAAAACAGCAAACCUCAUGAAUUAGGUAUGAGAUCAUUUACCUGUGAGGUAACCCAGAAGAGGCUCUGUAUUAGGUGGCAAUUCACUGAGGCACUUGUCCCUGCUCAGGGACAGACAGAGGGAAUAGAGGAGGCAGGAGGAACAGUACCAAUGGUGAAGAGGAGGAAUAGGGAUCUGUGUUUCACCCUGAAUCCUGACAGCAACAAUGGGAAGAACUUCCUGGGCAUCUUUCUUUCCCUCACUCCGUGUCAGCAAUGAACAUGCUGGAGUGGUGCAGGAAGUGUCAUGGCUAGGCCAUUUCAGGAGCCAUCUUGAAUUCUGGAGUGAUAAUAGAUGGGCAGAAGGUAGAGGCCAAUAAUUCACGCUGAGCCCAGUUCUUUCUCUGGUGGAGAUCAAGUGAAGCCAAGGAGAGGCAUUGCUGGCCCCAUCAUCAGCUAAUCUCAGGCUCUAUGGUUGAAACCCCACCAGCAGAUGUCAAGUUCGAAAAUGAAACCUGAUAACCUCACUGUAAAAGUCAGGUCUCCAAGGUCAGUGUGGCUGAUCCUGGCUGGGUACCAGCCCCAAACUGUUUAAAGGUUGGCAAGGAAGACUCCUGCAUCCAAACCAAGUGUAAAUGGAGUUUCCCAUGAGGUUGGGUGACAGGUCAGUGUGAGUGGGGGUUGGGGUGGGUAGCAGCGGGAUCUUUCUGCCCUCUCCCUCUCCUCCUGGCUCUUGCUCCUUCUCUCAAACUUAGCCCCACACUGCCUAUUUUCUUGACUCUCCUAUCCAAUAAAGUACUUUUCAUUCAAAU